GAAAUGCGAUAAGUAAUGUGAAUUGCAGAAUUCAGUGAAUCAUCGAAUCUUUGAACGCACCUUGCGCUCCUUGGUAUUCCGAGGAGCAUGCCUGUUUGAGUGUCAUGAAACCCUCAAACCCAAGUUUUGGAUUUCGGUCCCUGCUUGGGUUUGGAUUUUGAUGUUUGCCGGUGAUGAACCGACUCAUCUUAAAAUUAUUAGCUGGAUCUGACUAUAUGGCUGAUUUGACUUGGCAUAAUUAGUAUUUUGCUGAGGACAUUGUCGGAUGGUCAGUUCCUAGACUACUGUCUGCUACCUAAACCAUCACUUUAAGUGCAUCUUUGGAUGUUACUCAUUGUGUAACUUUGACAUCUGGCCUCAAAUCAAGUAGGACUACCCGCUGAACUUAA
rnacentral:misc_RNA from 1 species